rnacentral:rRNA from 1 species
GCAACGCGAAGAACCUUACCUGGUCUUGACAUCCACAGAACUUUCUAGAGAUAGAUUGGUGCCUUCGGGAACUGUGAGACAGGUGCUGCAUGGCUGUCGUCAGCUCGUGUUGUGAAAUGUUGGGUUAAGUCCCGUAACGAGCGCAACCCUUGUCCUUAGUUGCCAGCACGUAAUGGUGGGAACUCUAAGGAGACUGCCGGUGACAAACCGGAGGAAGGUGGGGACGACGUCAAGUCAUCAUGGCCCUUACGACCUGGGCUACACACGUGCUACAAUGGGCGGUACAGAG